GGACCCGCACAAGCGGUGGAGUAUGUGGUUUAAUUCGAUGCAACACGAAGAACCUUACCAGGGUUUGAAAUCAUUUCAAAACUCCUUGAAAGAGGAGCCUCCUUCGGGAUGAAAUGACAGGUGGUGCAUGGCUGUCGUCAGCUCGUGUUGUGAAAUGUCGAGUUAAGUCUCGUAACGAGCGCAACCCAUGUCUCUUGUUGCUCACUGAGUGCUUAAGAGAGACUGCCGACCAACAUCGGAGGAAGGUGUGGAUGAUGUCAAGUCAGCAUGCCCCUUACAUCCUGGGCUACACACGUACUACAAUGGUAAGGACAAUGAGCUGCGAUCCUGCGAAGGCUAGCCAAUCUCAAAAACCUUAUCUCAGUUCGGAUUGCACUCUGCAACUCGAGUGCAUGAAGGUGGAAUCGCUAG
rnacentral:rRNA from 1 species